GGGGACUUAGCUCAGUUGGUAGAGCAUCUGAUUUGCAUUCAGAGGGUCAGGAGUUCGAAUCUCCUAGUCUCCA
rnacentral:tRNA from 1 species